rnacentral:rRNA from 1 species
GAUGAACGCUGGCGGCGUGCUUAACACAUGCAAGUCGAACGGAAGUUUUAAGUGGAAGUUUUCGGAUGGAAAUUUAAAACUUUAGUGGCGGACGGGUGAGUAACGCGUGGGUAACCUGCCGUAUACAGGGGGAUAACACUUAGAAAUAGGUGCUAAUACCGCAUAAGCGCACAGUGUCGCAUGACACAGUGUGAAAAGCCUCGACGGUAUACGAUGGACCCGCGUCUGAUUAGCUAGUUGGUGAGGUAGAGGCUCACCAAGGCGACGAUCAGUAGCCGGCCUGAGAGGGUGACCGGCCACAUUGGGACUGAGACACGGCCCAAACUCCUACGGGAGGCAGCAGUGGGGAAUAUUGCACAAUGGGGGAAACCCUGAUGCAGCGACGCCGCGUGAGUGAAGAAGUAUUUCGGUAUGUAAAGCUCUAUCAGCAGGGAAGAAAAUGACGGUACCUGACUAAGAAGCCCCGGCUAACUACGUG